AUUGAACGCUGGCGGCAUGCUUUACACAUGCAAGUCGAACGGUAACAGGCCGCAAGGUGCUGACGAGUGGCGAACGGGUGAGUAAUGCAUCGGAACGUGCCCAGUCGUGGGGGAUAACGCAGCGAAAGCUGUGCUAAUACCGCAUACGAUCUAUGGAUGAAAGCGGGGGACCGUAAGGCCUCGCGCGAUUGGAGCGGCCGAUGUCAGAUUAGGUAGUUGGGGGGGUAAAGGCCCACCAAGCCAACGAUCUGUAGCUGGUCUGAGAGGACGACCAGCCACACUGGGACUGAGACACGGCCCAGACUCCUACGGGAGGCAGCAGUGGGGAAUUUUGGGCAAUGGGCGCAAGCCUGAUCCAGCCAUGCCGCGUGCGGGAAGAAGGCCUUCGGGUUGUAAACCGCUUUUGGCAGGAACGAAACGGCGCAAGCCAAUACCUUGCGCUAAUGACGGUACCUGCAGAAUAAGCACCGGCUAACUACGUGCCAGCAGCCGCGGUAAAAC
rnacentral:rRNA from 1 species